GAAACACCCCUAUGGAGCAGGACUUGCUUCUGUGGGGCCAUGGUACUCACUGGGUCUGCCUCUUGAGUGUGUUGCU
rnacentral:pre_miRNA from 1 species